UACGUAGGGUGCGAGCGUUAAUCGGAAUUACUGGGCGUAAAGCGCGUGUAGGUGGCGAUGUAAGUCGGGUGUGAAAUCCCUCAGCUUAACUGAGGAAGUGCACUCGAUACUGUGUCGCUUGAGUGUUGGAGGGGACGGCGGAAUUCCCGGUGUAGAGGUGAAAUUCGUAGAUAUCGGGAGGAACACCUGUGGCGAAGGCGGCCAUCUGGACAACUACUGACACUGAGACGCGAAAGCGUGGGUAGCAAACAGG
rnacentral:rRNA from 1 species